UACGUAGGUGGCAAGCGUUGUCCGGAUUUACUGGGCGUAAAGCGCGCGCAGGCGGAUGGUUAAGUAGGAAGUGAAAGGUUGGAGCUCAACUCCAACAUUGCUCCCUAUACUGGCCGUCUUGAGUCCCGGAGAGGAAAGCGGAACGACACGUGGAGCGGUGAAAUGCGUUGAUAUGUGUCGGAACACCAAUGGCGAAGGCAGCUUUCUGGACGGGUACUGACGCUCAGGCGCGAAAGCCGAGGUAGCGAACAGG
rnacentral:rRNA from 1 species